AAAUCCUUAAGUUAAUCAAAACUAUUAACCUUCAAAGUUAGAAAUAUAAAUUAAAUUUUAUAGGUUUUA
rnacentral:tRNA from 1 species